rnacentral:rRNA from 1 species
CGGGUUGUAAAGCACUUUAGGCGGGGAAGAAGAUGAUUAGUUUAAGAGAUGAGUCAUUUGACGGUACCCGCAAAAUAAGCACCGGCUAACUCUGUGC